AUACGUAGGUGACAAGCGUUAUCCGGAUUUACUGGGCGUAAAGGGCGUGUAGGCGGUCUUGCAAGUCAGAAGUGAAAUUCCUGAGCUCAACUCGGGCGCUGCUUCUGAAACUGCAGGACUUGAGUGCUGGAGGGGAUAGCGGAAUUCCUAGUGGAGCGGUAAAAUGCGCAGAUAUUAGGAAGAACACCAGUGGCGAAGGCGACUUACUGGACUGUAACUGACGCUGAGGCGCGAAAGUGUGGAGAGCAAGCAGGAUUAGAUACCCUGGUAGUCCACACUGUAAACGAUGAAUACUAGGUGUGGGGGGACUGACCCCCUCCGUGCCGCAGUUAACACAAUAAGUAUUCCACCUGGGGAGUACGAUCGCAAGAUUGAAACUCAAAUGAAUUGGCGGGG
rnacentral:rRNA from 1 species